CCUACGGGUGGCAGCAGUGAGGAAUAUUGGUCAAUGGGCUUACGCCUGAACCAGCCAAGUCGCGUGAGGGAAGACUGCCCUAUGGGUUGUAAACCUCUUUUGUCAGGGAGCAACGCCGGCUACGUGUAGCCGGACUGAGAGUACCUGAAGAAAAAGCAUCGGCUAACCCCGUGCCAGCAGCCGCGGUAAUACGGGGGAUGCGAGCGUUAUCCGGAUUUAUUGGGUUGAAAGGGUGCGUAGGCGGAAGGCCAAGUCAGUGGUAAAUUCGCGGGGUUCAACCUCGCACCGCAGUUGAAACUGGCGGUCUUGAGUGGGCGAGAAGUAUGCGGAAUGCGUGGUGUAGCGGUGAAAUGCAUAGAUAUCACGCAGAACUCCGAUUGCGAAGGCAGCAUACCGGCGCCCAAAUGACGCUGAAGCACGAAAGCGUGGGUAUCGAACAGGAUUAGAUACCCGAGUAGUC
rnacentral:rRNA from 1 species